CAGCAGCCGCGGGAAUACGGAGGAUCCAAGCGUUAUCCGGAAUCAUUGGGUUUAAAGGGUCCGUAGGCGGUCUUGUAAGUCAGUGGUGAAAGCCCAUCGCUCAACGGUGGAACGGCCAUUGAUACUGCAGGACUUGAAUUAUUGGGAAGUAACUAGAAUAUGUAGUGUAGCGGUGAAAUGCUUAGAGAUUAAAUGGAAUACCAAUUGCGAAGGCAGGUUACUACCAAUUGAUUGACGCUGAUGGACGAAAGCGUGGGUAGCGAACAGGAUUAGAUACCCCCGUAGUCCCUGUCUCUUUACA
rnacentral:rRNA from 1 species